GUGAGAAUAGCUCAGUUGGAUAGAGCGCAGGAUUGUGGCUCCUGAGGCCGCGGGUUCGAAUCCCGUUUCUCACCCCA
rnacentral:tRNA from 1 species